CCUACGGGCGGCAGCAGUGGGGAAUAUUGGACAAUGGGGGCAACCCUGAUCCAGCCAUGCCGCGUGUGUGAAGAAGGCCCUCGGGUUGUAAAGCACUUUCAGUGAGGAAGAACGCCUGGUGGUUAAUACCCAUCAGGAAAGACAUCACUCGCAGAAGAAGCACCGGCUAACUCCGUGCCAGCAGCCGCGGUAAUACGGAGGGUGCGAGCGUUAAUCGGAAUUACUGGGCGUAAAGCGCGCGUAGGUGGCUUGAUAAGCCGGUUGUGAAAGCCCCGGGCUCAACCUGGGAACGGCAUCCGGAACUGUCAAGCUAGAGUGCAGGAGAGGAAGGUAGAAUUCCCGGUGUAGCGGUGAAAUGCGUAGAGAUCGGGAGGAAUACCAGUGGCGAAGGCGGCCUUCUGGACUGGCACUGACACUGAGGUGCGAAAGCGUGGGUAGCAAACAGGAUUAGAUACCCCUGUAGUC
rnacentral:rRNA from 1 species